rnacentral:rRNA from 1 species
AUGCUUGAGUGCAGUUCGCCACAGGCACGCCCAUACAAGGCAUGUGGCGUCGCAGUGCCGAGCAAGUGUGGAUGUACAUCAGUACAUUACUAUGCAGUCUACUGCAAACCGGCUGGAUUUUUGUUGAGUUCUUUCUGCUAUGUUGAUGAAUCCUUUUAUGUGAUGAAUACUUGGACAGGUUGCUGCAGCUCAGUUCUUCUUUGCAUUUUUCAGAUUUUGGAUGUGUGUGGUAUCACUGCAGUACACUUCCAGCGCUGCAGCAAAACAGUAGCGGGCAUGGAAGUUGGUGGCAGCAUACAGUUUGGCUGGGCAUGGCCGCAUGGGUUGCAGUUCCCUGUGACGACAAGGAGGGUCACCUCUCGCUAUAAUGCAGUUUGUUUAUUUAUGUGUGACUAA